GACGAACGCUGGCGGCGUGCUUAACACAUGCAAGUCGAACGGAAAGGCCCUGCUUUUGUGGGGUGCUCGAGUGGCGAACUGGUGAGUAACACGUUAGUAACCUGCCCUUGACUUUGGGAUAACUUCAUGAAACUUGGGCUAAUACCGGAUAGGAGCUCCUGCUGCAUGGUGGGGGUUGGAAAGUUUCGGCGGUUGGGGAUGUACUCGCGUCUUAUCACCUUGUUGGUGGGGUAGUGGCUUACCAAGGCUUUGACGGGUAGCCGGCCUGAGAGGGUGACCGGCAACAUUGGGACUGAGAUACGGCCCAGACUCCUACGGGAAGCAGAAGUGGGAAAGAUUGAAAAAUGGGCGGAAGCCUGAUGCAGAAACGCCGAGUGCGGGAUGAUGGCCUUCGGGUUGUAAACCGAUUUCGCCUGUGACGAAGAGUAAGUGAAGGUAAUGGGUAAAGAAGCACCGGCUAAAUACGUG
rnacentral:rRNA from 1 species